GGAAAAUAGUGAUACCUUUUGUAGAAAUAGAUUUAAAAGAGGUGGUGCAUUUUUUGGGGGAAGUAGAUAAGGAUUUGGAUUUUAGACAUGUUGAGUUUAAAAUAUAUCUCAGAUAUUUAAUUUGAAAUUUCCAAAAAGCAAUUGAUAACAUGGGACUGAAGCUCAGGGCAGAGACUGGAUCUGGAUAGAUAGUGCUGAAUCACCAUAAUUAGACUUUUAGGACCUGAUGAGGUCACCAACUUAAAAAAGCAUAGAAAAAAGGCCCAAGUUAGAACUUUAGGGAAUACCAACAAUUGUUGGGGGAUGUGAUACAGAUCAUACACCAGCAAAGGAGACUGGGCGGAUGAUGGUGUUCUUCAUAGUAAUAGGGAACUUCAAAAGUAGAAUGGGUUUGGGGAAAAGAUAGCAAGUAUGUCCCACAGCCAUCUGUGACAGUUCAGUUUUAAUUUGUCAUAGAUCUUAUCCUUUACCAGUGGCAUCCUGAAAAUAAGGCUUUUUUUCUGGGACUUAAGGUGACAAACUUAGACCUCUGUAGAUGUAGCAAAUUCUCUAUUCAAAAGGAGAUUUAGAGCUUUAGUCCUAGUUUGGAGAUCUCCAACUCAAACAGCUGAGCUGUAUAACGUAUCUUACAGACCUCCCAGUAAUCUCCACUAGUGAGAUGGUGUUGGUAGAUCAUGAACAUGUGAGCUACAUUGACCACGGGGCCCUGAGCUGCUUCCUUGGAUGCAAAUUCAAAACACUAGGUCUUGGCUAGUUAACUCAAUUAGCUUAUGCUUUUUUAUGAUGAGUUCAAUCUCUGUAAGUUAGCAUUGCCCAGAGAAUAAAACAUUUGUUCUGCAGUCACAGACCAUAGCCCUCUACCCCUUUAAAAUGUCUAAUAAAUUCAAGCUAAGGAUCACAAGAGGAGGCGGUCCAAUGAGAGAACGCAAAUGAGCCAGUCCAGCCAUCUCCACUUCUGAUAUACCACUGAUGAUGGGCCAGCAGGGUCAUCUUUAUGUUAAAAUGACAAACAUAAAACCUUGAUGGGUAGGGGCCUUGGCUGCAUGACUGGCUCUCCUGAGGGCUAUAAUAAGCAAGAAGAAUAGUUUUGCUUGAGAUGGCUGUGGGACAUACUGUUCAACAUGUCCAUUAAGGAGGUGGUGAUUCAGGACUGGAGCUC
rnacentral:lncRNA from 1 species